GUCCACGCUGUAAACGAUGAACACUAGAUAUUGGAGGAUUUGACCCCUUCAGUGUCGCAGCUAACGCGUUAAGUGUUCCGCCUGGGAAGUACGGUCGCAAGACUAAAACUCAAAGGAAUUGACGGGGGCCCGCACAAGCGGUGGAUUAUGUGGUUUAAUUCGAAGCAACGCGCAGAACCUUACCUAGGCUUGAAAUCCCAUGAAUCCCUUUUAAACGAGGGAGUGCUCUUCGGAGAAUAUGGUGACAGGCGCUGCAUGGCUGUCGU
rnacentral:rRNA from 1 species